UACGGGGGGGGCAAGCGUUGUUCGGAAUUACUGGGCGUAAAGGGCUCGUAGGCGGCCAACUAAGUCGGAUGUGAAAUCCCCAGGCUUAACCUGGGAACUGCAUCCGAUACUGGAUGGCUUGAAUUCGGGAGAGGGAUGCAGAAUUCCAGGUGUAGCGGUGAAAUGCGUAGAUAUCGGGAAGAACACCCGUGGCGAAGGCGGCUCUCUGGGACGGUACUGACGCUGAGACGCGAAAGCGUGGGGAGCAAACAGG
rnacentral:rRNA from 1 species